GGUUAGGGUGGAGGAGUGAGUUGGGGGAAGGAGGAGGAGGUGGAGGAGUAGGAAGAGGAAGAGUUAAGAAGAAAUGUUAGGAACGGAAGGGAAGGGAGAGAGAAGGAAGGAAGGAGAGGGAGAGAGAAGGAAAGAAGGAAGGAAGGAGAGGGGGAAAGAAGGAAGGAAGGGAAAAUAUAUGAAGGAGAAAGAGGGAAGGAAGGAAGGAAGAGAAAGAGAAAGGAAGGAGGGAAAGAUGAAGGAAGGAAGGAAGGAAGAGAGAGAGAAAGGAAAGAGGGAAGGAAGGAAGGAAGGAAGGAAAAACACAUGAUUGAUUGCAUGUAUGAAAUUCCUCCUCAAGAUCCACAAAUUUUACAUCAUAACAAUACAAUCAAUGCUGUUUUAAGUAUACAUAGAAUCUCCUUCUCAUCAUAGCUACAGAAUCAAUGCUCUCAAGUGCAGUGAAAUGCUGGCAAGUCUCGUCAAAUGCCGGUUUUAAGUGGGUUAAAAUUCGAUACCUUUCCAGCUAGGUUGAACCCCCCCCCCUCCCCCCUCUGGCUCCUGGUCCAAAGCUGUCAAAGUAUUUUCAUCUCUGUUCUGUGGUGCUAAUGUUUCCUGCUGUCAAAUGCUGUCAAAUGCUGUUAUAUGGUUGUCACUGAUGUCCAUUCCUUUCAUACACGGUUAAAUGCCCUUGUGUGCUUUUCCUUGGUGUUAGAUCCUCCUCUCUCUCCCACACACUGCUCUCCAUUCCUUGUAUAGACCAUUCGAUGCUGUUGUGUGCUGUUCCUUGGUGUUUAAUCCUCCUCUCUCUCCCACACACUGCUCUCCAUUCCUUGUAUAGACCAUUCGAUGCUGUUGUGUGCUGUUCCAUGGUGUUCAAUCCUCCUCUCUCUCCCACACACUGCUCUCCAUUCCUUGUAUAGACCAUUCGAUGCUGUUGUGUGCUGUUACAAGGUGUGCAAUCCUCCUCUCUCUCCCACACACUGCUCUCCAUUCCUUGUAUAGACCAUUCGAUGCUGUUGUGUGCUGUUCCAAGGUGUUAGAUCCUCCUCUCUCUCCCACACACUGCUCUCCAUUCCUUGUAUAGACCAUUCGAUGCUGUUGUGUGCUGUUCCUUGGUGUUCAAUCCUCCUCUCUCUCCCACACACUGCUCUCCAUUCCUUGUAUAGACCAUUCGAUGCUGUUGUGUGCUGUUCCAAGGUGUUCGAUCCUCCUCUCUCUCCCACACACUGCUCUCCAUUCCUUGUAUAGACCAUUCGAUGCUGUUGUGUGCUGUUCCUUGGUGUUUAAUCCUCCUCUCUCUCCCACACACUGCUCUCCAUUCCUUGUAUAGACCAUUCGAUGCUGUUGUGU